GACCAACGUUAUAGUGAUGAAUUUUCCUAUAUGAUGAGUGAAGAAUAUCAAAUGUCUAGUAUGGGAGAGUUGAAAUUCUUCUUAGGUCUUCAAAUUCGUCAACAACACAAUGGCAUAUUCAUAUCUCAGGAGAAAUACCUCAAGGAUGUACUGAGGAAAUUCGGCAUGCAAGAUUGCAAAGGCGUCAAAAUUCCUAUGCCCACAAAUGGCCAUCUGUGCACUGAUGAAAAUGGUAUUGACUUCGAUCAUAAGGUAUACCGCUCCAUGAUAGGUUCCUUAUUAUACUUAUGUGCAUCUAGGCCAGAUAUAAUGCUUAGUGUUUGCAUGUGUGCCCGAUUUCAAGCUGCACCGAAGGAAUCACACCAUAAGGCUGUGAAGCAUAUUCUUCAAUAUCUAGCUCACACACCAACACUUGGAUUAUGGUACCCCAAGGGCUCGGCUUUUGAUCUUGUUGGAUAUUCUGACUCUGACUAUGCUAGUAAUCGUGUGGAUCGCAAGUCAACAUCU
rnacentral:rRNA from 1 species